rnacentral:tRNA from 1 species
CGCAGGUGGCGUACGCGGACGCGCUGGCCGCCUGGGGCGAGGCCGGUGGCUACGACGCCGAGGUGCUGUUCGACACGGUGUCGACGA